CACGCUGGCGGCGGCCGAAUACAAGCAAGUCGACCGAACAGAUAAGGAGCUUGCUCCUUUGACGUUAGCGGCGGACCGGGUGAGUAACACGUGGAUAACCUACCUAUAAGACUGGGAUAACUUCGGGAAACCCGGAGCUAAUACCGGAUAACAUAUUGAACCGCAUGGUUCAAUAGUGAAAGGCGGCUUUGCUGUCACUUAUAGAUGGAUCCGCGCCGUAUUAGCUAGUUGGUAAGGUAACGGCUUACCAAGGCAACGAUACGUAGCCGACCUGAGAGGGUGAUCGGCCACACUGGAACUGAGACACGGUCCAGACUCCUACGGGAGGCAGCAGUAGGGAAUCUUCCGCAAUGGGCGAAAGCCUGACGGAGCAACGCCGCGUGAGUGAUGAAGGUCUUCGGAUCGUAAAACUCUGUUAUCAGGGAAGAACAAAUGUGUAAGUAACUGUGCACAUCUUGACGGUACCUGAUCAGAAAGCCACGGCUAACUACGUGCCAGCAGCCGCGGUAAUACGUAGGUGGCAAGCGUUAUCCGGAAUUAUUGGGCGUAAAGCGCGCGUAGGCGGUUUUUUAAGUCUGAUGUGAAAGCCCACGGCUCAACCGUGGAGGGUCAUUGGAAACUGGAAAACUUGAGUGCAGAAGAGGAAAGUGGAAUUCCAUGUGUAGCGGUGAAAUGCGCAGAGAUAUGGAGGAACACCAGUGGCGAAGGCGACUUUCUGGUCUGUAACUGACGCUGAUGUGCGAAAGCGUGGGGAUCAAACAGGAUUAGAUACCCUGGUAGUCCACGCCGUAAACGAUGAGUGCUAAGUGUUAGGGGGUUUCCGCCCCUUAGUGCUGCAGCUAACGCAUUAAGCACUCCGCCUGGGGAGUACGACCGCAAGGUUGAAACUCAAAGGAAUUGACGGGGACCCGCACAAGCGGUGGAGCAUGUGGUUUAAUUCGAAGCAACGCGAAGAACCUUACCAAAUCUUGACAUCCUUUGACCGCUCUAGAGAUAGAGUCUUCCCCUUCGGGGGACAAAGUGACAGGUGGUGCAUGGUUGUCGUCAGCUCGUGUCGUGAGAUGUUGGGUUAAGUCCCGCAACGAGCGCAACCCUUAAGCUUAGUUGCCAUCAUUAAGUUGGGCACUCUAAGUUGACUGCCGGUGACAAACCGGAGGAAGGUGGGGAUGACGUCAAAUCAUCAUGCCCCUUAUGAUUUGGGCUACACACGUNGCUACAAUGGACAAUACAAAGGGGCAGCUU
rnacentral:rRNA from 1 species